UGACGUGACCGGGCCCCUCUGGCGUCGGCGGCAAUGACCGCCACGUGAUGUCGGAUCACCUCG
rfam:Pelagibacterium sp. SCN 63-23 ABS75_C0086, whole genome shotgun sequence.